rnacentral:rRNA from 1 species
GAUGAACGCUGGCGGCGUGCCUAAUACAUGCAAGUCGAGCGAACGGACGAGAAGCUUGCUUCUCUGAUGUUAGCGGCGGACGGGUGAGUAACACGUGGAUAACCUACCUAUAAGACUGGGAUAACUUCGGGAAACCGUAGCUAAUACCGGAUAAUAUUUUGAACCGCAUGGUUCAAAAGUGAAAGACGGUCUUGCUGUCACUUAUAGAUGGAUCCGCGCUGCAUUAGCUAGUUGGUAAGGUAACGGCUUACCAAGGCAACGAUGCAUAGCCGACCUGAGAGGGUGAUCGACCACACUGGAACUGAGACACGGUCCAGACUCCUACGGGAGGCAGCAGUAGGGAAUCUUCCGCCAUGGGCGAAAGCCUGACGGAGCAACGCCGCGUGAGUGAUGAAGGUCUUCGGAUCGUAAAACUCUGUUAUUAGGGAAGAACAUAUGUGUAAGUAACUGUGCACAUCUUGACGGUACCUAAUCAGAAAGCCACGGCUAACUACGUG